rnacentral:rRNA from 1 species
AGUGAACGCUGGCGGCAGGCCUAACACAUGCAAGUCGAGCGGCAGCGCGUCCGACCACCCUCGGGUGGUCGGAUGGCGGCGAGCGGCGGACGGGUGAGGAAUGCAUCGGAAUCUGCCUCGUUGUGGGGGAUAACGUAGGGAAACUUACGCUAAUACCGCAUACGACCUACGGGUGAAAGUGGGGGACCUUCGGGCCUCACGCGAUGAGAUGAGCCGAUGCCGGAUUAGCUAGUUGGCGGGGUAAAGGCCCACCAAGGCGACGAUCCGUAGCUGGUCUGAGAGGAUGAUCAGCCACACUGGAACUGAGACACGGUCCAGACUCCUACGGGAGGCAGCAGUGGGGAAUAUUGGACAAUGGGGGGCAACCCUGAUCCAGCCAUGCCGCGUGUGUGAAGAAGGCCUGGUUGUAAG